CACCACAAGGGACUGGUUAUGAGCCUGGCUGUUAGAACCAGUCUGAACCGGCCUCAACCCCAGCUCUGUGGCUACUGGCUGCGUGCCCUUGGGCACGUUACCCAACUUCCCUGAGCUGUGGUUGCCUCUCCACUCAAGGGGGCAGAGUAGGGCUCACAACUCCCUCUCAGUGAUCUGGAAAGCUUUGUGGGCUCAGAGGGCAUAGGCAGUUCCGACCGGUGGUCACUGGUCCAUCCUUCUCCCGCAUGCACAGCCUGAAGAGAGACUUACUUGGGCGCUUUGGGGCUGAAGCGAUCGGGGUUGAAAGUCAGUGGGUCCUCAAAGUACGUGUCCAUACGCCCCAUGACGUAGGUGCUGAACUGCAGGGCACAGGAUCCACUUGUCUCUGGUUCCAAAGACGAGCACCUGCACGUCUCCCCGACCCACCCAGUGACCAGGAGCCAGUAAGCUGUGACUCAGGAGUCAUCAUCCCCAUCCUACAAGGAGGGCACUGAGGCCCAGAGAUGACCCGGCCUGCCAGAGCGGGGCCGGGAUUGGAGCCGGGCUGUGCCCACUCAAGACCCACACCCACACCUGUACACCUGCCCAGCCAGAGAAGAAGAAGAAGAGGCAGUGCAGGAUACGGCAGGAAGGUGGCCACCUGGAAGCCAAGGAGAGAGGCCUCGGGAGAAGCCAACCCUGCCGACACCUCAAUCUCGGACCCCCAGCCUCCAGAACUGGGAGAAAGUGCAUUUCCACUGCUAACCACCACCAUCCUCACCCAAACCUCCCUGUCUGUGGUGCUUUGUUCUGGGAGCCCCCAGGAAACAAAACCAGAUCCCUACCUCAUACUGUACACAAAAUCCACUCCGGGUAAUAGGAACUUAACUUGCAAAAGAAAAAUGUGAAAUUGGGACGCCUCGGUGGCUCAGUGGUUGAGCGUCUGUCUUCGGCUCAGGUUGCGACCCGGGGGUCCUGGGAUCGAGUCUCUUCUCCUCCCUCUGCCUGCGU